rnacentral:rRNA from 1 species
UUGGAUCACCAGUGAGUGGCGGACGGGUGAGUAACACGUAGGUAACCUGCCCCGGAGCGGGGGAUAACAUUUGGAAACAGAUGCUAAUACCGCAUAACAACAAAAGCCACAUGGCUUUUGUUUGAAAGAUGGCUUUGGCUAUCACUCUGGGAUGGACCUGCGGUGCAUUAGCUAGUUGGUAAGGUAACGGCUUACCAAGGCGAUGAUGCAUAGCCGAGUUGAGAGACUGAUCGGCCACAAUGGAACUGAGACACGGUCCAUACUCCUACGGGAGGCAGCAGUAGGGAAUCUUCCACAAUGGGCGCAAGCCUGAUGGAGCAACACCGCGUGAGUGAAGAAGGGUUUCGGCUCGUAAAGCUCUGUUGUUGGAGAAGAACGUGCGUGAGAGUAACUGUUCACGCAGUGACGGUAUCCAACCAGAAAGUCACGGCUAACUACGUGCAGCAGCCGCGGUAAUACGUAGGUGGCAAGCGUUAUCCGGAUUUAUUGGGCGUAAAGUGAGCGCAGGCGGUUGCUUAGGUCUGAUGUGAAAGCCUUCGGCUUAACCGAAGAAGUGCAUCGGAAACCGGGCGACUUGAGUGCAGAAGAGGACAGUGGAACUCCAUGCGUAGCGGUGGAAUGCGUAGAUAUAUGGAAGAACACCAGUGGCGAAGGCGGCUGUCUGGUCUGCAACUGACGCUGAGGCUCGAAAGCAUGGGUAGCGAACAGGAUUAGAUACCCUGGUAGUCCAUGCCGUAAACGAUGAGUGCUAGGUGUUGGAGGGUUUCCGCCCUUCAGUGCCGGAGCUAACGCAUUAAGCACUCCGCCUGGUGAGUACGACCGCAAGGUUGAAACUCAAAGGAAUUGACGGGGGCCCGCACAAGCGGUGGAGCAUGUGGUUUAAUUCGAAGCUACGCGAAGAACCUUACAAGGUCUUGACAUCUUGCGCUAACCUUAGAGAUAAGGCGUUCCCUUCGGGGACGCAAUGACAGGUGGUGCAUGGUCGUCGUCAGCUCGUGUCGUGAGAUGUUGGGUUAAGUCCCGCAACGAGCGCAACCCUUGUUACUAGUUGCCAGCAUUAAGUUGGGCACUCUAGUGAGACUGCCGGUGACAAACCGGAGGAAGGUGGGGACGACGUCAGAUCAUCAUGCCCCUUAUGACCUGGGCUACACACGUGCUACAAUGGACGGUACAACGAGUCGCAAGCUCGCGAGAGUAAGCUAAUCUCUUAAAGCCGUUCUCAGUUCGGGCUGUAGGCUGCAACUCGCCUACACGAAGUCGGAAUCGCUAGUAAUCGCGGAUCAGCAUGCCGCGGUGAAUACGUUCCCGGGCCUUGCACUCACCGCCCGUCA